rnacentral:rRNA from 1 species
GACGAACCGUGCGAACGUUAUUCGGAAUCACUGGGCUUAAAGCGCGUGUAGGCGGGACGGCACGUCGGUCGCUGAAAUCCCCCGGCUCAACCGGGGAACGGGCGCCGAUACGACCGUCCUGGAGGGACGUAGGGGGACCUGGAACUUCCGGUGGAGCGGUGAAAUGCGUUGAGAUCGGAAGGAACGCCCGUGGCGAAAGCGAGGUCCUGGACGUUUUCUGACGCUGAGACGCGAAAGCCAGGGGAGCGAACGGGAUUAGAUACCCCGGUAGUCCUGGCCGUAAACGAUGGGCACUGGGUAGGGGGCUCGCCGAUGGGCUCCCUGCCGUAGGGAAACCGUGAAGUGCCCCGCCUGGGGAGUAUGGUCGCAAGGCUGAA